rnacentral:lncRNA from 1 species
UGAAACAAAUCUCUUGUCUGCUUUCUGCUUUAGGAGGUCACUGGCAAUUGGCAGUUGAUUCCGAUUAGGUUCAGCCCCCAGUACUGUGGGCCUGUUGUGAUCCCCCCCCCCCCACACACACACACACACAGUCACAUCACUGUUACAAUGUUUACUGUUUCCAACAUGAAUGUAUUGUAAUGUGCAGAACAAUGCCGGUCCGGUGGUUAAAGCUUGGAGAACUUUCCAGUUCAUCAGCCCCAUCAUCACCUACAUGCGUGGGGGAUCCCAGCAGGUGGUGGUGAGGAUGCACCACGUGAGUAGGGUGAGAGGCCUGGAGACUCAACUGGUGUGGGCCAUCUCCAAGGAGACAGCCAGGCUUAGUCCAGAGGGAAUCCCCUACUGUGCCACCAAAGUGCAGUCCAUCACUUGGAUCCAGGUAAGACAUAAAUACUACUGUAAUAGUAUUAGAUUAGGCUUUUCUUCACUUAUUCCAUUUGGCCUUAAUAUGUAUUCUCUCUUUGUCAGCGUGUGGCUGGCAGGGUGA